GGGCGAUUAGCUCAGUUGGUAGAGCACCUCCCUUACAAGGAGGGGGUCAUCAGUUCGAGUCUGGUAUUGCCCA
rnacentral:tRNA from 1 species